rnacentral:misc_RNA from 1 species
AUGAAGAACGUAGCGAAAUGCGAUAAGUAAUGUGAAUUGCAGAAUCCAGUGAAUCAUCGAAUCUUUGAACGCACAUUGCGCCCGCCAGCAUUCUGGCGGGCAUGCCUGUUCGAGCGUCAUUUCAACCCUCGACCUCCCCUUGGGGAGGUCGGCGUUGGGGACCGGCAGCACACCGCCGGCCCUGAAAUGGAGUGGCGGCCCGUCUGCGGCGACCUCUGCGUAGUAAUACAGCUCGCACCGGAACCCCGACGCGGCCACGCCGUAAAACACCCAACUUCUGAACGUUGACCUCGAAUCAGGUAGGACUACCCGCUGAACUUAAGCAUAUCAAUAAGCGGAGGA